UGUGGGAGCUGGCUUGCCUGCGAUAGCGGUAUGUCAGUGAGCAUUUCCGUUACUGACACACCAUUAUCGCAGGCAAGCCAGCUCCCACA
rnacentral:misc_RNA from 1 species